UACGUAGGUGACAAGCGUUUUCCGGAUUUACUUGGCGUAAAGAGCGCGCAGGCGGUCGUUCAAGUCGAGUGUGAAAGCCCCCGGCUCAACUGGGGAGGGUCAUUCGAUACUGAUCGACUCGAAGGCAGGAGAGGGAAGUGGAAUUCCCGGUGUAGUGGUGAAAUGCGUAGAUAUCGGGAGGAACACCGGUGGCGAAGGCGGCUCUCUGGACCGAUACUGACGCUGAGGCGCGAAAGCGUGGGGAGCAAACAGG
rnacentral:rRNA from 1 species